rnacentral:rRNA from 1 species
CUACAUAUCAAUAAGCGGAGGAAAAGAAACUAACAAGGAUUCCCCUAGUAACUGCGAGUGAAGCGGGAAAAGCUCAAAUUUAAAAUCUGGCAGUCUCUGGCUGUCCGAGUUGUAAUCUAGAGAAGUAAUGCCCGUGCUGGACCGUGUAUAAGUCUCCUGGGAUGGGGCGUCAUAGAGGGUGAGAAUCCCGUCUUUGACACGGACUACCAGUGCAUUGUGGUAUGCUCUCAAAGAGUCGAGUUGUUUGGGAAUGCAGCUCAAAAUGGGUGGUAAAUUCCAUCUAAAGCUAAAUAUUGGCGAGAGACCGAUAGCGAACAAGUACCGUGAGGGAAAGAUGAAAAGAACUUUGGAAAGAGAGUUAAACAGUACGUGAAAUUGCUGAAAGGGAAACGCUUGAAGUCAGUCGCGUUGGCCGGGAAUCAGCCUUGCUUUUGCAUGGUGUACUUUCUGGUUGACGGGUCAGCAUCAAUUUUGACCGCUGGAAAAAGGCCUGGGGAAUGUGGCAGCUUCGGCUGUGUUAUAGCCCCUAGUCACAUACAGUGGUUGGGAUUGAGGAACUCAGCACGCCGCAAGGCCGGGUUUCGACCACGUUCGUGCUUAGGAUGCUGGCAUAAUGGCUUUAAGCGACCCGUCUUGAAACACGGACCAAGGAGUCUAACAUGCCUGCGAGUAUUUGGGUGGAAAACCCAAGUGCGUAAUGAAAGUGAAAGUUGAGAUCCCUGUCGUGGGGAGCAUCGACGCCCGGACCAGAACUUUUGGGACGGAUCCGCGGUGGAGCAUGUAUGUUGGGACCCGAAAGAUGGUGAACUAUGCCUGAAUAGGGUGAAGCCAGAGGAAACUCUGGUGGAGGCUCGUAGCGAUUCUGACGUGCAAAUCGAUCGUCAAAUUUGGGUAUAGGGGCGAAAGACUAAUCGAACCAUCCAUCUGC